CCUACGGGGGGCAGCAGUGGGGAAUAUUGGACAAUGGGGGGAACCCUGAUCCAGCCAUGCCGCGUGUGUGAAGAAGGCCCUCGGGUUGUAAAGCACUUUCAGUGAGGAAGAACGCCUGGUGGUUAAUACCCAUCAGGAAAGACAUCACUCACAGAAGAAGCACCGGCUAACUCCGUGCCAGCAGCCGCGGUAAUACGGAGGGUGCGAGCGCUAAUCGGAAUUACUGGGCGUAAAGCGCGCGUAGGUGGCUUGAUAAGCCGGUUGUGAAAGCCCCGGGCUCAACCUGGGAACGGCAUCCGGAACUGUCAAGCUAGAGUGCAGGAGAGGAAGGUAGAAUUCCCGGUGUAGCGGUGAAAUGCGUAGAGAUCGGGAGGAAUACCAGUGGCGAAGGCGGCCUUCUGGACUGACACUGUCACUGAGGUGCGAAAGCGUGGGUAGCAAACAGGAUUAGAUACCCUUGUAGUC
rnacentral:rRNA from 1 species